UGAGAAAAUGAUGGUAACUAGUCUGGCCCGAAUUCAGGUUAAUUGUUUUUUCUUUUAAAUGUAAGCCAGGGCGGGAUCAGCCAGCGGCGGCUUCCCGCAUGCGUGAUUCAUUUACAGUCUGGACGCGGAGGGGUGAACAUCUCCUGCUCUGACUGCAGCGAUAGGACUGGGCCGCCUGUGAGUGCUUUGGGACGGGGGUGGGGCACACCCGCCACACCCGCUGUUCCUUGAUAAGAAUCCCAACCCACCCUCUUCUAGCUGAACUCAUGAGUUUGGUGCUCACCAAAACCUACUUCAAGUUCGACGAUGCCUACUUCCGGCAGUGUAGCGGGACUGCCAUGGGCACAAGGAUGGCACCGAACUUCGCUAACCCACACCUCGGGACACCUGCACUUCACUAUUGAACAUGACGAGGGAGGACUAGACAUCCUGGACGUACGGGAAGAAAGGAUGAACUUCUAGAAAGAUUUAGAUCAAAGGGCUACAAUCAGACAUGGUUAAAUCAAGCUGAAAGUAAACUCACGGAUGUUUCUAGAACACCCUAGAGCUGGACCUGCCAUCCAACUGGUCACGACCUACACCAGGGGCCAGUGCCCCUGUGACAACAUUUUGGACCCCCUUGUGGCCCCCCUAAAUGUGGAGUAUGAAAUAAUUUUUACAUAACUAAUUUUUGCUAUCGUUCUUUUUUUUAGUUCCGUUAUUAGACAGUGGCAACGCGGAACAUGGUCUUUUGCCUGCUAAUUCCUGCAAUGCAGUGAAGAAAACGACAUGACAACAAUAACAUCUAAUGUAACUGGCCCCUCUAACAGUACAACUGCCCCCAGCUUGGCCCCCCCAAUUGAAAUGGUCUAGAACCGCCACUGCUCAGAGCGGUUGGGUAGGCUGUUUUCCGGUUUUAGCUGGCUGGAUUUAGGUCUGCACAGAGCAUGCAGACAUGCUGUGUGAAGGCAAAGCUUCUGAAAGGCUGGUGUAUAGGACCACCACGGAAGAGAUGACCAUAGGCAGCUUCUGUCUGUGUUGCGAGUUUUCUCUGAGUUGUACCAACAAGCAGAGCAGAAAGUGGCUACUCUUUAGUUAGCUGAUCUAGCUGGCAAGGUUUGACAGAAUUAUUAUUUUUUUUUUUCCCAGUGCGGCGUUAGUAGUGUAACUGCCAUGUUAUGUUAGCUAAUAUUUCAUCCCCUCUCGACUGAAGUGACUGAACUACUGUACUAGUAACUAGUUAGCAAGUUAGUAGCUACCACAGCUGGUUUAGCUCUAGCUAGCCUCUAGCUACAGUAUCUGACAGGUAGCAGUAUCUAACAGCUGUUGUGUGUAUGGAAAUGUUUUGUAGCCAUUGUUUUGUCCCGUUUCAACAGAAGUAAAUUUGAUGAUGUACCAUAAGCUAGCAGAGCUAGCCAAAAGUUAGCUAAGGUUAGCUAGCUAGCGCACUAACUUUAGCUAUUAGGGAAUAAUGGUCAUUUCAAUUGUUGAACCAUUGAUUCUAUUCAUGGAUAAUAUCAUGUAUAAAUGUACACCAAUGUAAUUCUUUGUCAUGCCUCAUCUGAGUAGGAUCAGAUGGUGACAGGGGUCUCAGCAGGGUCAGUCAGCCAGGGAAGACCAGUCUGUGAGGGAGCGGAGGUGAAUUCUUGCAGAUAAAACAAUAUUUCCUCUGUGCAGCAAACACUGGACAAGCAAGAAGCUUUAAAUUAUUUUAAGGCAGUCUAACAAACCUCUAAAGUUGAUUUCCAAACUGCAUCAAGGGUUGAUUGAGGCUUUUCCCGAUGACACAAAACAUGUAAAACAAAAAUGUGAGGAAGAACUGGGAGACGCAAUUUAUGAUGAAUGGACGCAUAUGUUAGAAUGCCCCGUCAUGUUCAUAAAAUCUCAAACAUAAAUUACUAUAGUUUAAGACCAUCCAUAGAAUGUACUAAACUCAGCAAAAAAAGAAACGUCCUCUCAUUGUCAACUGCGUUUGUUUUCAGCAAACUUAACAUGUGUAAAUAUUUGUAUGAACAUAACUAGUUUCAACAACUGAGACAUAAACUGAACAAGUUCCACAGACAUGUGACUAAUAGAAAUGUAAUAAUGUGUCCCUGGACCAGCUGCAUUAAGUACUGCAGUGCAUCUCCGGUUACAUGGAGCGACACCGGGGAACCCAAGAGCAGACUCAGAUGAGAAAACAGGGAUGAAUGAACCAAAAUACACUGCUCAAAAAAAUAAAGGGAACACUUAAACAACACAAUGUAACUCCAAGUGAAUCACACUUCUGUGAAAUCAAAC